rnacentral:lncRNA from 1 species
GCCGGAGUUGGAGGCGAGCUUGGCUCCCGUUGGAGUCCGGAUGGAGUCUGCUUUGCCGUUGGAGUUGGUGACGGAGCCCGGCUCCCGUAGGAGUCCGGGCGGAGUCUUCCUUGCAGCCGGAGUUGGAGGCGAGCCCGGCUCCCGUAGGAGUCCGGGCGGAGUCUGCUUGCGGUCAGAGUUAUGGGCGGAGUCCGGCUCCCAUAGGAGUCUGGACGAGGUC